rnacentral:misc_RNA from 1 species
UCCGGUUUGGCACCGGCAGUCUGACUAGAGUCCCCGACAUUACUCGCUGGCAACUAGUCACAAGGGUUGCGCUCGUUGCGGGACUUAACCCAACAUCUCACGACACGAGCUGACGACAGUCAUGCAGCACCUGUGUUCCCGCCAGCCGAACUGAAGGAUCCCAUCUCUGGAACCCAUACGGGACAUGUCAAGGGCCGGUAAGGUUCUUCGCGUUGCUUCGAAUUGAACCACAUGCUCCACCGCUUGUGCGGGCCCCCGUCAAUUCCUUUGAGUUUUAGCCUUGCGGCCGCACUCCCCAGGCGGGGCACUUAGUGCGUUAGCGACGGCACGGGAGGAGUCGACACCUCCCACACCUAGUGCCCAUCGUUUACGGCGUGGACUAC